rnacentral:rRNA from 1 species
GUCCACGCCCUAAACGAUGUCAACUAGGUGUUGGGAGGGUAAACCUUUAGUACCGGAGCUAACGCGUGAAGUUGACCGCCUGGGGAGUACGGCCGCAAGGUUAAAACUCAAAGGAAUUGACGGGGACCCGCACAAGCGGUGGAUGAUGUGGAUUAAUUCGAUGCAACGCGAAAACCUUACCUACCCUUGACAUGUCAGGAACUUGCCAGAGAUGGCUUGGUGCUCGAAAAGAGAACCUGAACACAGGUGCUGCAUGGCUGUCGU